CAGACACUCUCGUCGUAACUUCCCCUCUGCAUCUGAGGGGACGAUCGGGUAACGGAAUGGCUUCUCCGACAAAAUGGAAGCCGGAGCGACGCUCCUUCCUCGGCGGCCUCCGCUCGCCCUCGAACCCUUCAAUUUAUCUUUCAUUGAUUUCUGGAAGACCAUAAACAUGGUUUUCAUGGAGGUAAAGAUGCCAUGGAAUUCGAUAAUUUCACCUCAACUGCUCGAUGCAAAAGGAACUAUACUCCAUAAAGCUAUCAUCCUACGUCAUAUGGAUGACAUUGCAAUUAGAAAGGCAUCCGAGGAGCAGUUACUAGCUUGAACUCGAUAGGCGAAGGAAAGGUUCGAGACUUGCCAGGAGAUGUUCUCUUCCCUACCAGGAUCUGUGGCAUGGAUUAUAGCAUCAAGGAUUGGUUGAUCUCAAUCCUUGCACCUUGGGGUAUCAUGUAUGCUGCUUGAUGGUUUUGUCGUGGAUAGUUGACUAGCCCGUGACUGGAUUCCAGUACUUGGCAACUAAUGUGUUUCAGAUCAGGGUUGAUUGAUGCCUUCGUUCCUUGAUUGUUUUCUGUUAUUAUUUUGUGAUCUACUGUUGGUUCAAAAGAGUAAUACCGUAUCUCACUGUUAUUAUUAUGGACUCAAAACGGUUGUUGUAUCCCAAGAAGUUUGUCGUGUUCAUUUAUAGUUUGAAAUGGUGUGGCUGAACUUUUUUCGUUAUA